AACAAAUGUGUACUGCUUCUGUGAUUUUGCUGAAUAUAACUUUGAUUAUUGUCUUUGGAGAAUAUGGACUCUUGUCCUGUUAGAGAAAAGGAUCCUUAUUUAGAAAAAUGUAUGGUAUUCAGCCUUCACAAAUAUUAUCUGUCUCACUAAAUGUUAAAGAUUUUUGUACAUAAGCCCAUAACUUUCAGUAUUUACCUUCCAUGUGAUCCUCCGGUCUGUUGUGCUGUAUUCAGGUGCAUGUGGUGAGUUGCCUGUGGCAACUGAAUGCAGAUAGUGUGAGCUCAUGAGGCUGCUGUGAUUCUUUAUUCAUGCCACCACCAGCCAGCUCUUCUGAGGAACAGGAUAUCAUGGGAUGCCUCUUUCGAAGGGAGGAGGUGUGUCUGGUCUAGCUCUUCAGUUUGAUGGAUACACUACUGUUCAGAAGCUUUGGGGGUUUGGAGGAGAGAGAUGGAAUACUUCAAGGGGUAGGAAAGCAGGAUAGUGGAUGCCACAGUGGAAGAUACGUGUGCAGAAGUGUAAAGCUGUGCAGAUGGUCCUUAACCUUUGUAGCCCUUCAGUUACAGACAAGUGUCUCAUCGCAGAUGCCUGAACUUCCCCUGCUGCAGAGCGCUCUGAUAGAAGGAAUGAUUAGAUAAGACUAUUUAAUAAACUGUUUCACAAAAAAAAUGUCACAAAGUCAAGUGUGAUUUUCAAGUAUUGAAGUAUAGAGGGUGAGGGCUAGAAAUGCAAGAAGUUUCUUCUUUUCUCAUUUAGCUACAGCAGGAUUCGGAGAAGUGAAUUUUGCAAUGGAGUAUUGUUUUUUUUGUCCUUUCUGUUUUUUAGAGAAAGAGUGGUAGCAGUGUGGACUACCUGCACCCACAUCUCCCCUUCAACACUCUUUAGCACCAACAUAUUCACUUCCAGCUUCCAGAACAUUGUGGAUGCUUAUGGUGUGGCAUGUUACAGAGAG